GGGUGAGUAACGCGUGGGUAACCUGCCUCAUACAGGGGGAUAACAGUUAGAAAUGACUGCUAAUACCGCAUAAGCGCACAGUGCUGCAUGGCACAGUGUGAAAAACUCCGGUGGUAUGAGAUGGACCCGCGUCUGAUUAGCUAGUUGGUGGGGUAACGGCCUACCAAGGCGACGAUCAGUAGCCGGCCUGAGAGGGUGAACGGCCACAUUGGGACUGAGACACGGCCCAAACUCC
rnacentral:rRNA from 1 species